UACGGAGGAUCCAAGCGUUAUCCGGAUUUAUUGGGUUUAAAGGGUGCGCAGGCGGAAGAUUAAGUCGGCGGUGAAAUUUUGCAGCUCAACUGUAAAAGUGCCUUCGAAACUGGUUUUCUUGAGUGUGGAUGAAGUAGGCGGAAUUUGUGGUGUAGCGGUGAGAUGCAUAGAUAUCACGAGGAACUCCGAUUGCGCAGGCAGCUUACUAAACCACUACUGACGCUCAGGCACGAAGGCGUGGGGAUCAAACAGGAUUAGAUACCU
rnacentral:rRNA from 1 species